rfam:Triticum aestivum genome assembly, contig: Triticum_aestivum_CS42_TGACv1_scaffold_306187_4AS
AGGAGCCGUGCGAGAUGAAAGUCUCAUGCACGGUUGUGUAUGAGAGAAAGAAGCGAGGAAUCCUAUUUUCGACUCUGAC